CCAUCAUUCAGUUGGGCACUCUAGGCGAGACUGCCGGUAAUAAACCGGAGGAAGGUGGGAUGACGUCAAAUCAUCAUGCCCCUUAUGACCUGGGCUACACACGUGCUACAAUGGUUGGUACAACGAGUUGCGAGUCGGUGACGGCGAGGCUAAUCUCUUAAAGCCAAUCUCAGUUCGGAUUGUAGGCUGCAACUCGCCUACAUGAAGUCGGAAUCGCUAGUAAUCGCGGAUCAGCAUGCCGCGGUGAGUACGUUCCCGGGCCCUU
rnacentral:rRNA from 1 species